AUGGAAGUGAAUCAGAGCCUCAGUGGCGACCUGCAAAGAUGCCUGAUGGCCUUUCUGUGGCUUGAGAUGGCUGCUGUUUCCCUGGGAGCCUUUUCACAUCACAGGGAGCUACUUCCAAAGAGUAACAACAGAACAGCACUUCGUACCAAGCACAGCUGCCAAGUGUCACAGCCGGGCCUUCUGUGUUUCGAUACUUCUGCUUCACGUCAGGAAGGAGACUACAGUACUUCACGGGUUCCACAUGAACCGUACAAAAUGUUUAGCCAAACCCUAGACAGAAGGAGAAGGAAUGGAAAAAAAUCGGAUAGAACAAAGGAAGAGGGAAAGGAGAACUUUUUCUUCUAA
ensembl:lncRNA